AUAUAAAUAAUGGGAAAGAGAGAGAGACUGGGUUGGAGGAUAGAGAGGGAUUAAGGAUUAAGUGCAGGAAAUCCACAUUCUUCUUUUCUCUCUCGAUUGAAAAUGGCAUUCCAAUUGCAAACUGGCCCAGAUUUUUCCACCAAAGAAGCAAACCUAAAGGAGGAAUUGCGAGAAUCUAAAUUCUUCGGCAUUAAUUGUUGGUUUUUUUUUGAACUACCAGUGUUUCUAGAAUCAACUACCUCAUGACUAGGAAAGGGUAUCAAUGCUAGAGAAAGAGCAAGAGAGCACCGUAGGUUUUUGAUUGCUCAUUUUCUUUUAGGAUGCCCAAAUAAUUAUUCUUUUAGAAUUGAUUAGUUUCUUUGUGAUAUCCUUUUGCUUUUUUCCUAUUUUAACUUUUGAGGAGUUCCAUUUUAUGAAAAUAUUUAUGUCCCUUUUUUCAUCAUAAAGUAGUUUUUACUCUUUUUGCUUCAUAGAACAAGAUGUUACAAUUAAGGUUUUUUAAUUAUCUUUUAUUUGCUAUUUAAAUGCUUGAGCAGUAAAUUCUAUGAGGAAUUGAGAAAUAAAACAAGGUGACAGUGACAACUUAUUUUCUUUAUUUGUAUUUUAUUUAACGGUUUGAUUUUAUUAUCAGCCUGGGAGUGAUUUUUUGGCCCAAAAAAUUGAUUUUUUUUACCGUUAUUUCACUAUUUCAGCCGUCAUAUUUAAUUUCUUCUUUCAUAGCGUACUCCACUUUUAAUCAAAAAAUCAAUUCUCAAAAUGACUCCCAAAUAGCCUCUAUAUCUUUAUCGUGGCUCAUCUUUGAUUGUGUUUUAUAUGUGUCUGACUAUAAGGAUGCAAGGUACUUCAAGAACAAGUUGCAAAGAAGGCAGCACAAGUUGCAAGGGGUGCCUAUGCUAGAGAAUAUAUAUCGAGCAUCCCCACAGAGAAAAAGCUGAGUUAAAGAUGAAAAAUUCCAAGCAAAGAAUGCUGUUUAUGUGCUUCGAAAAUCAAGAAAGACAACAUCUUCUGCAGGAAAGGAGAAGACGUUUUGCUAGUGAGUUGGGCUUGGGUUUGAAAGGCCUGUUAUUUGAGGAUCUUUACAGUGAAAAGUAACUCUUGAAGAGCUCUGAAGAUAGCUUACAGCCCUAAAUCCUGCAUAAUGUGUAUCUCCUCGCACUUAGAAUUGUGCUCAGAUAUGAACUGUUGUACGUUUCAAUUCAUAAUGUAAUCUGUAACCCUAGAUACUAUUGAAGAGAGCCUCAUUUAUGAAUCCUAUUACAUUAUUCUUACUUUUUGAGGUACAAUUGCAUUUGGUUAUAAUGAUUAAUUUGA